CUUUGUGAGAGCAGUAAAGUGGAUUUCUGUUUGUGUGUGUUCAGGGUCGUGGAUGGCACAGAGGACAGUGAUGGUACAGAAAAUUCACACACAUUCAUAUUUUCCUCUGCCCAUCAGCACACCAUCAGUGGUGCAACUAAUACCGCUGCCACCACAGCAGAAUUAGCAGCUAAAUCAGAGGACACCAGAGGACAGCUACGCCACCUUAACCAAGAGGUGAACUCUCUCGGACGGGAGG
rnacentral:lncRNA from 12 species